GAAGUCGGUCGGAUGGUCGCUGGAUAUAUAUGUAUCGAGAGGAAAGUCCGGGCUCCAUAGAGCAAGGUGCUAGCUAACUGCUAGGUACGGUAACGUAACGGAAAGUGCUGCAGAGAAUAGACCGCCUAUUUUCUUUAGGCAAGGGUGAAAAGGUGCGGUAAGAGCGCACCGCACAUUUGGUGACAAAUGUGGCAAGGUAAACCCCACUUGGAGCAAGCUCAAAUAGGAUGGCAAUUAUGCUGCUCGUAUAUGUCAUCGGGUAGAGUGCUAAAGAUAUUUGGCAACAAAUAUUGUAGAUGAAUGACCAUCAAUUACAGAACCCGGCUUAUAGACUGACUUCAUUU
rnacentral:RNase_P_RNA from 1 species